AUACGGAGGGUGCAAGCGUUGUUCGGAAUUAUUGGGCGUAAAGAGCAUGUAGGCGGUUCGUUAAGUCUGAUGUGAAAGCCCGGGGCUCAACCCCGGAAGUGCAUUGGAUACUGGCAAACUUGAGUACGGGAGAGGAAAGUGGAAUUUCGAGUGUAGGGGUGAAAUCCGUAGAUAUUCGAAGGAACACCAGUGGCGAAGGCGGCUUUCUGGACCGAUACUGACGCUGAGAUGCGAAAGCGUGGGGAGCAAACAGGAUUAGAUACCCUAGUAGUCC
rnacentral:rRNA from 1 species